rnacentral:misc_RNA from 1 species
AAGUCGUAACAAGGUUUCCGUAGGUGAACCUGCGGAAGGAUCAUUAAUGAAACUUCAAGUCGGCUGUUCUGUGCUGGUGGCAACACAUGUGCACGUUCAGUCGCAAUCCACACACCUGUGCACUUUGACUCUGAGCACCGCCUGUAACAGGGCAGAAGGUUUGAGAUGAAGGUCUUAACCUGGUACUCGAGUAGUUUACACACUCUGUAUGUAAUAGAAUGUAACUGUACAAUGUACAACCAUAAACAACUUUCAACAACGGAUCUCUUGGCUCUC